rnacentral:rRNA from 1 species
CGCGUGGGUAAUCUACCUUCGAAUUGGGGAUAACGUUGCGAAAGCGACGCUAAUACCGGAUGACAUCCAUUUAUCUUCGGAUUUUUGGAUCAAAGGUGGCCUCUACAUGUAAGCUACUGUUUGGGGAUGAGCCCGCGUACCAUUAGCUUGUUGGUGGGGUAACGGCCUACCAAGGCAACGAUGGUUAGCUGGUCUGAGAGGAUGAUCAGCCACACUGGAACUGACACACGGUCCAGACUCCUACGGGAGGCAGCAGUGAGGAAUUUUGCGCAAUGGGGGAAACCCUGACGCAGCAACGCC